rnacentral:rRNA from 1 species
AGGGAGUUUUCGGCAAUGGGGGAAACCCUGACCGAGCAACGCCGCGUGAAGGAUGAAGGUUUUCGGAUUGUAAACUUCUUUUGUCGGGGACGAAAAAAAUGACGGUACCUGACGAAUAAGCCACGGCUAACUACGUGCCAGCAGCCGCGGUAAUACGUAGGUGGCAAGCGUUAUCCGGAUUUACUGGGUGUAAAGGGCGAGUAGGCGGGAUCAUAAGUCAGAUGUGAAAUCUGGGGGCUCAACCCCCAAACUGCAUUUGAAACUAUGAUUCUUGAGUGAUGGAGAGGCAGGCGGAAUUCCCGGUGUAGCGGUGGAAUGCGUAGAGAUCGGGAGGAACACCAGUGGCGAAGGCGGCCUGCUGGACAUUAACUGACGCUGAGGAGCGAAAGCGUGGGGAGCAAACA